CAUUCAUAACAAGAAUGUUGCAAGCAAUACAAAGAUUGCAAUUUUCCAGGUAGGAAGACUGAGGCCGAGAGAGAUACAGAAUGGAAUGGACCGGGUAAAGAGUUCUGAGAUGUCUGGGCUGUGAACUGCCUAUCUUUCCUUAUGAGAUGGGAAAAGAGAGGCACAAGAAGACUGGGUAACAUGCUAUGUCUGCUUGCACAGAAGAGAAGCUGGGCUUCGAUGCCUGCUUGCCUCACACCAGAGCAUGGACUGGACUGUGACUCCGCAUCAUCUCUGCGUUGGAUGGAAGAGAAGUUGCUCAUUCUCCUCGAGAGACUGGGUUUCAACACGGCAGGCAGAGAACAUGGAGAAUCACAGAACAAAGUGAGGCAUGCAGUGAUGAAUGCCAGGCUCAUCCAGCAUUGCAGACAGACCUGACAGCUCCAUCCAUACAGCAAGCCAAAUUCAAAAUCACUCAUGAAGCAGCCUUCCAAUGCAGCCAGGCAACGGGGCAGAACAGACUGCAGACCUGUCCCCAGUUCUGGCUAAGUUACUUGUAAACACUGCAUUGAGUGUAAUUAUAUGGGUCUCCAUCAG
rnacentral:lncRNA from 1 species